CCUACGGGAGGCAGCAGUGAGGAAUAUUGGUCAAUGGGCGGGAGCCUGAACCAGCCAAGUCGCGUGCGGGAAGACGGUACUGAGUAUUGUAAACCGCUUUUGUCCGGGGAUAAAGGCGGCCACGGGUGGCGGUAAGAGUGUACCUUAAGAAAAAGCAUCGGCUAACUCCGUGCCAGCAGCCGCGGUAAUACGGAGGGUGCGAGCGUUAUCCGGAUUUAUUGGGUUUAAAGGGUGCGGAGGCGGCGUGUCAAGUCAGGGGUGAAAUGUCGGGGCUGAACCCGGGGCCGGCCGGGGAAACUGGCGUGCUAGAGUGGGAGAGAAGCAGGCGGAAUUCGUGGUGUAGCGGUGAAAUGCAUAGAUAGUACGAAGAACCCCGAUUGCGAAGGCAGCUUGCUGGCUCGACACUGACGCUGAGGCACGAAAGCGUGGGUAUCGAACAGGAUUAGAUACCCCAGUAGUC
rnacentral:rRNA from 1 species